GACGUAGGGCGCAAGCGUUGUCCGGAUUUAUUGGGCGUAAAGAGCUUGUAGGCGGUUUGUCGCGUCUGCUGUGAAAAUCCGGGGCCCAACCCCGGACUUGCAGUGGGUACGGGCAGACUAGAGUGUGGUAGGGGAGACUGGAAUUCCUGGUGUAGCGGUGAAAUGCGCAGAUAUCAGGAGGAACACCGAUGGCGAAGGCAGGUCUCUGGGCCACUACUGACGCUGAGAAGCGAAAGCAUGGGGAGCGAACAGG
rnacentral:rRNA from 1 species